CCGCUCCGACUCUUUGGCCAAGAAUGGGCGCCGCGCUCAGGAGGGUUGCCGGUGCAGGAAGCAGGUGUUCUGAUUUAUGCCUUCGUGACCCUUCUGGCUCUCACAAGUUGUCAUAUUGAUGUACUCCCUUCCUAAAUGAAAACGCCAUCGGAGCGAGGACGUGACUUGAUCACCACCUUCUCCUGGUGAAUGAAUGACUAUCUUUUAGAAAUCUGGUUCAGCCGUUCUCAAACUUUUUGGUCUUGGCACCCCUUUACACUUAAGAAUCACUGGAACAUUAAAGAACUUUCGGUUUGUAAAAUAUGUGUACACACAAACACACACUUUUUUUUUAAGAAAUACGAAAAAAAUUUUAAUGUAUUCACUUAAAAAAUAACCAUAGGAGUUCCUGUUGUGGUUAAGCGAUGAGGAACCCGACUAGUAUCUAGUAUACAUGAGAAUGCAGGUUCAAUCCCUGGCCUUGCUCAGUGGAUCGGUGUUGUUGUGAGCUGUGGUGUAGGCUGGUAGCUGUAUCCGAUUCAGCCCCUAGCCUGGGAACUUCCAUAUGCCACAGGUGUGCCCCCACCCCCCGCCCCCGCAAGGAAAAGCAAUAAACCCAUUACAAGUAAUCAUUAGAACAAGGAUAUCACAUAUCUUGUAGCUUUUAUAAAACUCCACUGUAUACUCACAGGAGAAAGUGAAGAGAAAUAGCGGUGAAUAUUGUUAUGCAAAUACUUUUGACCUUGUUUCCCCUGAAAGGAUCCCAGGAACCCCCGGGGACCACACUCUGAGAACCUCUAUCUAGUCCAACAUCCUCCUUUUAUUGAUAGGAAUGUUGAGGUCCAGAAAAAUAAGAUAAAGACACACCAUUAUUCCCUAAAGGUAACUGUUUUGAAUCCAGGGUUCUUCUGCAUCUAGCCCGGGGUCAUAUUAUUAUGUUUUCCCAAGCAAAGCAGAUAACAUCUCUAUUUAAAUAAGAAAGCUGUGGUAUGGAGAGCCCACGAAGAUGCCUGAUCACCACUACCACCUAGUGGUGGACACCUGCUGUGUCGGGUUUGGAAUUCAGAGCCUCCCACCUUUUCCUACUGGGCCUCAUCCCCUCCUCUCCUGAUGUCUGGAUGGGGGCUAGAAGCUCCAGAAAUCUGGCGGAGGAGGCAAGGAAGCAUAUAUGUGUGAAAAUAUAAAUGUGGAUACAUUUGGGUCACAUUUGGCUAGAUGCUGAUGUGUGCCCUUUGUUGAGUGAUAUGUUAUGGGCCAUGAGGGACAGAAACAUUCCUCAGGAUUGAUGCAGUGAAGGAAAGUCUUAUGGAAGAGGUGACGUUUGAACUGGGGGAAGAUGGGAGGCAUCGGAGGCCCGGAAGUGGGUGGAGAAAGCAAACCUCUGCAAGGCUGUCAGGUUGAACAGAGCAGUAGUAGUGGUGGCAGAUGUAAAGUUGACCCCACUAAGUUUAUGAGCCAGACAAAAAUGCCUGUAAACAAACCCAGAUGAACCAUAAAGGACACACAUUUUACUCACAUUAAGCUACCACACAUCUGACUAGAGAUGCUAUAAAUGCCAGAUAGUUAAUUUAAAAAAGAAGGCUAGAACCAGAUGAGGAUAAAAUGCCCCCAGUUGGGGGGAACUGGGCAGUUUGAAAGAGAAAAGGAGGGAACUCAGAUGAAAGGCUAGAGGAUGAUUAAGAAUGAGAAAUGGUAGGAGUUCCCUCUCAUGGCUCAGUGGGUUAAGGACCUGGCAUUGUCACUGCUCUGGCUCAGGUUACAGCUGUAGUAUGUUCAAUCCCUGUCCCUUCUGCAUGCCCUGGGUGUGGCCAAAAAAGAAGGGGACAAGGAAUGGUACAUGCUUAUGCCUCAUCUGAACCUCUUCACUCUGUUCCUGGCUUAUUGUGUCCUGACUUCUUGUCUGGCCUCCCCAUUCAAUCUAAAGUGCCUGUUUAAUCUGCUUAGAUCCCCCUUUCCACCUGACACUAGCCUGCUCAAAAUGUUCCAUGGCUCUCCAUUAUCAUCAGAACAAAAUCUAAAUGUCCCAGCUGGUCCUUUAAAUCCUGCCACAGUAUGGCCCCAACCUACCUUUCUAAUGUUAUCUCCAAGCACUCCUCUCUGAGACCCUCAUCAGAUUAGUUGAUUCAGCCAUCCAAAGACACCUUAGACUCUUCUCUUCCCCCGACUCCAUUUAACAUCUCUGGAAGUGGUCAGAACCUCCCUCUGCCUGCUCUAACUACAUUGCGUUUGCUGUGAGGAAAACUAAUUUUCGUGUCCUUACUGACCACUCUUUGCUACUAUUUAUGCAUUCCUCCCAGAAAAAUCAUAGCGCUUAUUGUGUUUCUUCCACUCUUUUGGCACUAGGUCACAUAACAACCAAACAGUGCUGUUACUGAUGAUUAUCAAACAAUUUUGAGUUUUUACAAAUUGAUAGCUCAUAAGUGAUAAGACCUUUAAAAUAGGAAAAUGAGUAUUCAGUGGGAAAAAAAGCAAGCACUGUCAAUAGAGUCUCCAGAAAUUGCUCUGUAUGUACUAACAAACACAGAGCACAUCAACUCACUUGAAUUUUUAAAAUUGUGGUAAAAAUACACAUAACAUAAAAUUUACCAUCCUAACAAUUUUAAAGUGUAGAAUUCAGUAGUAUCAAGCACAUUCACAUUGUUAUCAACCAAUUUCCAGAGCUUUUUCACCUUCCAAAACUGGAAGUAUACCCAUUAAACAACUCUCCAUCUCCCUCUUCUCCCUCCAGCCACCAUGCUCCUUUCUGUUUCUGAGUUUGACUACUCUAAAUAUCUCAUAUAAUUGGAAUUGUACAAUAUCUGUCUUUUUUGUGACUGGUUUACUUCACUUAGCAUAAAGUCCUCCAGGUUCUUUCAUGCUGUAUGUAGCAUGUGUCAGAAUUUCCUUACUUUUUAAGGCUAAGUGAUAUUCUUUUGUGUGUGUGUGUGUGUUCAUUCAUCGAUAGACCCAUAGGUUGCCUCCACCAUUUGAUUAUUAUAAAUAACGCUUUUAUGAACAUGGGUGUACAAUUAUCUCUUCAUGAUCCUGCUUUCAAUUCUUUCUGAUAUAAACCCAGAAGUGAAAUUGCUGAUUCAUGUUGUAUCAAUUCAUUUUUAAUUUUUUUUUUUUUUUGUCUUUUUGCC
rnacentral:lncRNA from 1 species